GCGCAGGUAUCGCUAGCUCAGUCGGUAGAGCAUGAGACUCUUAAUCUCAGGGUUGUGGGUUCGAGCCUCACGUUGGGCG